rnacentral:rRNA from 1 species
UACGUAGGGGGCUAGCGUUGUCCGGAAUCAUUGGGCGUAAAGCGCGUGUAGGCGGUCCGGUAAGUCCGCUGUGAAAGUCGGGGGUCAACCCUCGGAUGCCGGUGGAUACUGUCGGGCUUGAGUACGGAAGAGGCGAGUGGAAUUCCUGGUGUAGCGGUGAAAUGCGCAGAUAUCAGGAGGAACACCAAUUGCGAAGGCAG